CACUAAAAGUGGUAUGGAGGCUCAUUAGGUCCAUGUGGGGUACAUACAAGUUUUCAGUUUUGCAUUUUGGGGUAUUUAUGGGCGUUUUGUAUCACUACUUCGCACCCUGUAGAUGGAUCUUCACCAAAUUUGACAUCAAGGUUUUU